AAAAUAUUAAGUUAUGUAAACUUUUAACUUUCAAAGUUAAGAUAAGAAAUCAAAAUUUUUAUAUUUUA
rnacentral:tRNA from 1 species